GGUACCCCAACUGCCCGCUACCUCUCCUGCAAGACUACCAGCGCUGAAACGCAUAGCUACACCACCAACCAACACGAAGCUGCAGAAGGUAACAAAAGCUCUACCCAGACUUAAAGGCAGCAGACCGAGCACCCGAUACUGCAAGCCUGAGUCCCGACAGGCUCGGAGAGCCACCAAACGCAGCCCGCCGCUCCACAAACUAAAAUGGCGCACUCAAGGGGCCUAUACCCGGCCUACACCAGGCGAAGUCAAAAAAGCCUGUCAACACUCUACCCAAGUGCAGCGAUACACAGCUGCAAACAGCACUCUGAAGGGCUUUACCUCCACAUCAAGGGGACACACAGAGUCUCACACUCGCCAAACAGCAUGGGGAGCAGAGAAACUGUCACACCACAAAGCAUACACC